GAGUAAUGUCUGGGAAACUGCCUGAUGGAGGGGGAUAACUACUGGAAACGGUAGCUAAUACCGCAUAACGUCGCAAGACCAAAGAGGGGGACCUUCGGGCCUCUUGCCAUCGGAUGUGCCCAGAUGGGAUUAGCUAGUAGGUGGGGUAACGGCUCACCUAGGCGACGAUCCCUAGCUGGUCUGAGAGGAUGACCAGCCACACUGGAACUGAGACACGGUCCAGACUCCUACGGGAGGCAGCAGUGGGGAAUAUUGCACAAUGGGCGCAAGCCUGAUGCAGCCAUGCCGCGUGUAUGAAGAAGGCCUUCGGGUUGUAAAGUACUUUCAGCGGGGAGGAAGGCGACAGGGUUAAUAACCCUGUCGAUUGACGUUACCCGCAGAAGAAGCACCGGCUAACUCCGUGCCAGCAGCCGCGGUAAUACGGAGGGUGCAAGCGUUAAUCGGAAUUACUGGGCGUAAAGCGCACGCAGGCGGUCUGUCAAGUCGGAUGUGAAAUCCCCGGGCUCAACCUGGGAACUGCAUUCGAAACUGGCAGGCUAGAGUCUUGUAGAGGGGGGUAGAAUUCCAGGUGUAGCGGUGAAAUGCGUAGAGAUCUGGAGGAAUACCGG
rnacentral:rRNA from 1 species